rnacentral:tRNA from 1 species
GGAAGGGCUGUGGCUCAGUGGUAGAGUAUCUGCUUUUCAUGCAGGAGACCUAGGUCCCCUGGCUCCUCCA